UCGAAUCCUGCGGGAGAGACCGGCCCUCGCGGCCGGCGCCGAAGGAGCAACCGGCCCCGGAAACUCUCAGGCACCAGGGACCGCAGGGGGAUG
rnacentral:ncRNA from 2 species